CUUAAUUGGAAAAUACACCCACAUAAGGAAAGUGAAGCUCCCAACCCUUCGAACAGAGAUUCGAUCCCGACGACAAUUUUCCCAGGUAGGUGGCACUACAGUGAAGAUACGGUUGUUGCUGGGAGCAUUAUUUCGUCGGUUGCUAUCUCCAUCGAACUUUCAUGUUUUCGAAGACGAUUACAUUCCGUCGUCCUUUUCCACUCGCUCCCCAAACGUAUAAGUUUCUUGGUUGCCUUAAUUGGAGAAUACACCCACAUACGGAAAGUGAAGCUCCCAACCCUUCGAACAAAGAUCCGAUCCCGACGACAAUUUUCCCAGGUUGGUGGUACUACAACAAAGAUACGAUUGUUGCUGGGAGCAUUUCGUCAGUUGCCAUCUCCGGCAAACUUUCACAUUUUUUAAGACGGUUACAUUCCAUCGUCCUUCUCCAUCUCGCUCCCCAAAUGUGCAUGUUUCUUUGUACGAUUGUUGUUGGAAGCAUUAUUUCGUCAGUUGCCAUCUCUGUCGAACUUUCAUGUUUUCGAAGACGGUUGCAUUCCAUCUUCCUUCUCCAUCUCGCACCCCAAACGUCUAAGCUUCUUUGUUUGAUUUUUCAAAUUUUAACUUUCUUCAUUUGGAAAGAUGAUAAAUGGCGGUCUCGUUACCUUGAAGAUUUUUAAUUACUGUCCAUGUGCAGAUUUACCAAUUUUUAACCUUCUUCAUUCGGAAAAGCCAUCUCCGUGCCGUCUUCGAUCAAAGAUUGUUGUUUAAAGGGCCUUUGAUUAUGGUCA
rnacentral:lncRNA from 1 species